rnacentral:rRNA from 1 species
GUGGGGAAUAUUGGACAAUGGGGGCAACCCUGAUCCAGCCAUGCCGCGUGAGUGAUGAAGGCCUUCGGGUUGUAAAGCUCUUUUGGCGGGGACGAUGAUGACGGUACCCGCAGAAUAAGCCCCGGCUAACUUCGUGCCAGCAGCCGCGGUAAGACGAAGGGGGCUAGCGUUGUUCGGAAUUACUGGGCGUAAAGCGAGUGUAGGUGGUUGUCAUAGUCAGGUGUGAAAGCCUUGAGCUCAACUCAAGAAAUGCACUUGAUACUGGGCGACUAGAGGACCGGAGAGGAUAGUGGAAUUCCCAGUGUAGUGGUGAAAUACGUAGAGAUUGGGAAGAACACCAGUGGCGAAGGCGGCUAUCUGGACGGUUUCUGACACUAAGACUCGAAAGCGUGGGGAGCAAACAGGAUUAGAUACCCGAGUAGUCC